rnacentral:tRNA from 1 species
GUGGUUGUGGCUCAGUGGUACAGUUCUCGCCUAACACGCGUGACGCACUGGGUUCGAUCCUCAGCACCACA